AAAAAAAAAAAAAAAAAAAAAAAAACAGCAACAACAACAACAACAAUAAGCUUUGGUUAGGGUUUUAAUUUUUUCUCUUCUUACCCAUUACACCAGCCGUCACUCUCUUUCUCCCUCACCCUUACCCUCACCCUCACGUUCGCCUCUCUCUCUCUCUCUCUCCCUGCCUCCCUCACCUGGCCUUUCCGCCGCCGCCGCCACUUCCCACCCUAGCCAUCGCCGUGCUCUCCCCUUAUUCUCGACUCUCUCUCUCUUCCUCAUCCUCGCCUCUCACUCUCUCCCUCACCCUUGCCACUCUGCCGCCAGCCACCACUGCCGCCGCCCUACUCCUCUUCCCCUUUCCUCCUCUCAUGUCCACCUCCGCCGCUAGUCUCCUCCACCGCCAAUUUUCUAGUACCUCCUCUACCCUUUGUAAUUUUUAUUUUGUAUUUUUUGUUUUUGGGUUUUUUGUUCAAUAUUUAGAGUGUGGGUUUUCUGGAACCUCCUCUACCCAUCGGUGAGUUUUUUCUUUUUUUUUUUUAAUUGUAGAAAUUUCAUAUAAAUACAUUACAAGAAAAUCAUUGAUUUGAAUUUCAUAUUUUUGUGAUUGAAUAUACUAUUGGGGUUUAGGUUGCAAUGUGAUUUUGAUUUGCAAUUUUUUUUCCCUAUUGGGUCUUGUGGUUAGUGCUUUGAUAUGGAUGUUUGGCUGUGGGAUUGGGGUUCAAAAAAAAUUGGGGUUUUUGUUUUUGGUUGAUUGUGAAUUCCAUAAGUAUUUUUUGAUUUGGGAUUUUCAGAGUUGGGUAUGUAUAUUGCUUGUGCUCAUUUGGCUAUAGGUUUGGGUUUGUGCUUAUGUUUGAAACGUGGGUUUUAUGUUGACCCAGAGGCGAAGCUCCUGUUUAUCAUUCGCAUUCGUGGUAUCAAUGCCAUGCACCAAAAGACUAGAAAGAUCUUGCAGCUCUUGCGUUUGAGACAGGUAUUACAUGAAACUCACCCCUUAUGGUACUAUAAAAUGGCAUCUGGUUAUUGUAGUUUUUAUUUAUGUUUUUGUGUUGGUCAUGACGGUAAAUAUAUCCUUUUGAAGGCUAAGGCAGGUUCAGACUAUUUGCUUAUUGUACCGGGUAGUUUUAGUAAAAGUACUCGUUUUUAAAGCUAUUUAAGUUUAAGCUCCUUGGGUCAUAGUCUAGAAAUCUUUGAGGCAAAGCUCAAACAUCUAGUGUCAAGGUGUUUGGGUGUAAGCACCUUUUUUAUUUUGACCUUUUAGAACUUUAUAUAAGCAUUAAGUACACACUAUUUCUAGUAGGUUUACUGCUGAAUAGUUUGAAACUUGAAGCCCUUUGUUGUGAGUGUUAUGAAAAGCUAAUCUGAAACUAUGCCUGAUUCUUUUAUUCUGAAUGCUGGGACAUGCGUAAUUCUUUUAUUCUUUUAAUCUGAAACUAUGAUAAGCUAACUGACACUGAAUGCUGAAACUUGGCCCACGUAUUUAGUCAUCAAAGGUAAGUUUCAAUUGCAUUGAAUUUAGCCCAAUAUUUUAAAGAAAAUUAAACAGAGGCAUCAUCCGUGGCCGCCACCUUGCCUCCAUUAAUGACCAGUCGCCUCUUGCUUUCUCCGCUGGAAACAUCACUCUCCUCAGUAAUUCUUUGGGAUUGUAUGAUCCUUAUUCCACUCCUCAAAUAAUCAUUCAAAUAUAUGUUUUUAGUUUAUAUAUAUAUAUUUUGUGUGUGUAUUUUUUAGUGAGCUUUUGAUAUGAUAUUUUUUGGUUUUUAAAAUUUUUUUUUUUUUUUUAUAUGUGAUAUUUUUGGUUCCUGAUAAGAGAAAGAGUUGUUUUUUAGUGGCCAGUUGUAUUAUUGUAAGUAAAAGUUAUAACUUUUUGUGGUCUCCCAGCCUAUCCAAAAAGACCCCAAAUGAAUUUUUUUUUUUUUUUAAUUUUCCUGGGUGACCAAACUGUUUGUUUCAAUUAGGUUAGGUGUACUGACUUUAUUAUUUUAUUUGGUUAAUUUAUUUAUUUAUUUUCUAUGUUUGUUGAUGUUUUAGUUUGCAUUAUGCUAAUGUUUCUUUGGGGAAUCCGAGUUUAUCAUUCUUGGUGGUGUUAGACACGGGCAGUGAUUUGUUCGGGAUACCAUGUGAUUGUCAGAAAAAUGGUUGCGUAAAGGCCUUAUAGUCAUCAUCUGGAGCGGGGUAUGUUGAGUUAAACACAAAUUCUUCAUAGCAGGGAUGGGUUCUGGACAUUGGUUUAAGAUGAUAAUUGGCUCAAAGAAAGGGAAGCGCAGCAGUUCAAAACAAGUAAAGGUCUACUUUCUUCUUUUGUAACUUGGAUCGGCCAAAUGCCACAGUUCGUUCUAGAGUCAGAAAUCCCAAAGGUUGAACCCACUAAAGUUAAGGAAGCUUUUCAGGAUGAAAGUUGGGUUGAAGCAAUGCAUGAUGAACUGCUUCAGUUUUAGAGGAAUGAUGUCUGGACUCUAGUACCUAAACCGAAGGGUGAGCACAUCAUUGGCACAAAGUGGAUAUUCCGCAAUAAGACUGAUAAGGAAGGUAAUGUGAUCCGUAACAAGGCUUGUCUUGUAGCUCAAGGAUACUCACAAAUGGAGGGAGUAGACUAUGAUGAGACAUUUGCCCUAGUUGCCCGUAUGGAGUCCAUCAGAAUUCUCCUAGACUUAGCAUGUCACUUAAAGUUCAAGUUUUACCAAAUGGACGUAAAGACUGCUUUCUUGAAUAGGCUCCUUAAAGAAGAUGUCUAUGUGGCUUAACUAGAAGGAUUCAUUGAUUCACACUUUUCAGAUCAUGUGUUGUACCUCAAGAAGGCACUUUAUGGUUUAAAGCAAGCCUCUAGAGUUUGGUAUGAUCGACUUACACAAUACUUGGUGUCACAUGGGUUCACAAGAGGAAAAGUUGAUCAGACUCUUAUCAACAAAAGGGAAGUUGGCGAGUUGAUAGUAGCUCAAGUCUAUGUUAAUGACAUCACCUUUGGGUUCGACUAAGGAUGAACUUACUCAUAGCUUCUCAAAACUCAUGCAGGCCGAGUUCGAGAUGAGCAUGAUUGGAGAGCUGACUCACUUCCUUGGAUUACAAAUUCGUCAACAAGAUUCAUGGGAAAAGUCGACCUUUCCGCCCUUGGGUUGGUGAUGUUGAUGAAGCCGGAGGAGCUAGGGGUGGAGUCGGUGGCUUGGAACAUUGUGGCGGUCAAAGCGGUGCCGUUGGUGAUCUGGUGGAGCUUUUUGGCACCAAAGUAGUCGAGGAGGAUGUGGAGGAAGAGGAUGCUUUUAAUGGUGUAGAUGGAAGGGUGGGUGGAGAGGAGGUUGCACAUGGCGGCAUUAUCGAAGGCGUAGACGGUUAUGGUGGUGCGAUUGUUAAUCUCGCUGGCGAGGUGUGUGAGGGAGAGGUAGUGGUUGAAGGUUGAGAAGUCUGGGUGGUGAGUUGAUUUGGUGGCUUUGGAUGUGGAGGGUUUUUUUUUUUUUUUUUUUUUUUACUCUGCUGUUGUUUGUGGUUGCGGUGGAUUUGACUAGUGGCUGGUGGUGGCAAUGGUGGGUGGAUGUGGUGGCCGGCAGUGCUGGGUUGAGAGAGAGAGAGAGAGAGAGAGAGAGAGAGAAUAAAAAAUGAUAAAGAAGGAAUAUUUAAAUGAAGUGUUAAAAAAAAUAGUAGUUUUGAUAUAAGGGAUAUUAUAAAGUAAGGUGUUAUAUGCUAUAAAGUUAGUAUUUUAGAUGUUAAAUGCUAAAAUUUUUAAGAUGUUUGGUGGGAAUGCCCUUAAGAUGGCAUGCUAUCCUUGUGAUGUAAUUUGAAAUUGGUUUACAAAAGUGCGCUAAACAAGAGUACAGAAGUGCAGUACAUGUUCCGGAUGCAUCCUCUAGCCACUCGAUACUUACGUUAAAUAUGCCAGUGACAUUGAAACUGCCAUUCAGGAUGUUGUGACUUGUGUUGCGUGAACACGUUUGUAUGCCUUCUAAUAUAUAGCAUAUGUUUGCUUUUCAUUUCAUUAUA